GUCCAAGCUGUAAAUUAUGUUUGCUAGGUGUCUCCUCUUCGGAGGGGGUGCCGUAACCUAACGGGUUAAGCAAAUCGCCUGAGUAGUAUAUUCGCAAGAAUGAAACUCAAAGGGAUAGGCGGGGGAACACACAAGCAGUGGAUUAUCUAGAUUAAUUGGAUACAAAGCCAAGAAUCUUACCCGGACUUGACAUGCAUUAUGUCUACGGUGAAAGCCGUAUAGUUAUAGCAAUAUAACGUCUUGCACAGGUGGUGCAUGGUCGUCGU
rnacentral:rRNA from 1 species